rnacentral:rRNA from 1 species
UACGAAUGGGGCAAGCGUUGUUCGGAAUCACUGGGCUUAAAGCGUGCGCAGGCGGCUAUGCAAGUCAGACGUGAAAUCCCGGGGCUUAACCCCGGAAUUGCUUUUGAAACUGCAUAGCUAGAAUAUGGGAGAGGUCGGCAGAAUUCCGAGUGUAGAGGUGAAAUUCGCAGAUAUUCGGAGGAAUACCAGUGGCGAAGGCGGCCGACUGGACCAUUAUUGACGCUCAGGCACGAAAGCGUGGGGAGCGAACAGG